rnacentral:rRNA from 1 species
UACGUAGGGGGCUAGCGUUGUCCGGAAUCAUUGGGCGUAAAGAGCUCGUAGGCGGUCUGUCACGUCUGCUGUGAAAACUCGGGGCUUAACCCCGGGCCUGCAGUGGGUACGGGCAGACUAGAGUGCGGUAGGGGAGACUGGAAUUCCUGGUGUAGCGGUGAAAUGCGCAGAUAUCAGGAGGAACACCGGUGGCGAAGGCGGGUCUCUGGGCCGUAACUGACGCUGAGGAGCGAAAGCGUGGGGAGCGAACAGG